rnacentral:rRNA from 1 species
AGUGAACGCUGGCGGUAGGCCUAACACAUGCAAGUCGAACGGCAGCACAGUAAGAGCUUGCUCUUACGGGUGGCGAGUGGCGGACGGGUGAGGAAUACAUCGGAAUCUACUUUUUCGUGGGGGAUAACGUAGGGAAACUUACGCUAAUACCGCAUACGACCUACGGGUGAAAGCAGGGGAUCUUCGGACCUUGCGCGAUUGAAUGAGCCGAUGUCGGAUUAGCUGGUUGGCGGGGUAAAGGCCCACCAAGGCGACGAUCCGUAGCUGGUCUGAGAGGAUGAUCAGCCACACUGGAACUGAGGCACGGUCCAGACUCCUACGGGAGGCAGCAGUGGGGAAUAUUGGACAAUGGGCGCAAGCCUGAUCCAGCCAUACCGCGUGGGUGAAGAAGGCCUUCGGGUUGUAAAGCCCUUUUGUUGGGAAAGAAAAGCAGCAGGUUAAUACCCCGCUGUUCUGACGGUACCCAAAGAAUAAGCACCGGCUAACUUCGUG